UGUACCCGCGGCAAGACGGAAAGACCCCGUGAACCUUUACUAUAGCUUGACACUGAACAUUGAGCCUUGAUGUGUAGGAUAGGUGGGAGGCUUUGAAGUGUGGACGCCAGUCUGCAUGGAGCCGACCUUGAAAUACCACCCUUUAAUGUUUGAUGUUCUAACGUGGACCCGUAAUCCGGGUUGCGGACAGUGUCUGGUGGGUAGUUUGACUGGGGCGGUCUCCUCCUAAAGAGUAACGGAGGAGCACGAAGGUUGGCUAAUCCUGGUCGGACAUCAGGAGGUUAGUGCAAUGGCAUAAGCCAGCUUGACUGCGAGCGUGACGGCGCGAGCAGGUGCGAAAGCAGGUCAUAGUGAUCCGGUGGUUCUGAAUGGAAGGGCCAUCGCUCAACGGAUAAAAGGUACUCCGGGGAUAACAGGCUGAUACCGCCCAAGAGUUCAUAUCGACGGCGGUGUUUGGCACCUCGAUGUCGGCUCAUCACAUCCUGGGGCUGAAGUAGGUCCCAAGGGUAUGGCUGUUCGCCAUUUAAAGUGGUACGCGAGCUGGGUUUAGAACGUCGUGAGACAGUUCGGUCCCUAUCUGCCGUGGGCGCUGGAGAACUGAGGGGGGCUGCUCCUAGUACGAGAGGACCGGAGUGGACGCAUCACUGGUGUUCGGGUUGUCAUGCCAAUGGCACUGCCCGGUAGCUAAAUGCGGAAGAGAUAAGUGCUGAAAGCAUCUAAGCACGAAACUUGCCCCGA
rnacentral:rRNA from 1 species